rnacentral:rRNA from 1 species
CGAAAGCGAGUCUGAAUAGGGCGAGAAGUCGCAGGGAUUAGACGCGAAACCUGGUGAGCUACGCAUGGGCAGGGUGAAAGUGUCGUAACAGACACCGGAGGCCCGAACUCACCACUGUUGCAAAAGUGGGGGAUGACCUGUGUGUAGGGGUGAUAUGCCAAACGAACUGGGAGAUAGCUCGUUCUCCCCGAAAUAGCUUUAGG